rnacentral:rRNA from 1 species
AGUGAACGCUGGCGGCAGGCCUAAUACAUGCAAGUCGAACGGCAGCACAGCAGAGCUUGCUCUGUGGGUGGCGAGUGGCGGACGGGUGAGGAAUACAUGGGAAUCUGCCCAGUCGUGGGGGAUAACGUAGGGAAACUUACGCUAAUACCGCAUGCGCCCUUCGGGGGAAAGCCGGGGACCUUCGGGCCUGGCGCGAUUGGAUGAGCCCAUGUCGGAUUAGCUAGUUGGCGGGGUAAUGGCCCACCAAGGCGACGAUCCGUAGCUGGUCUGAGAGGAUGAUCAGCCACACUGGAACUGAGACACGGUCCAGACUCCUACGGGAGGCAGCAGUAGGGAAUAUUGGACAAUGGGCGCAAGCCUGAUCCAGCCAUGCCGCGUGAGUGAAGAAGGCCCUCGGGUUGUAAAGCUCUUUUGUCCGGAAGAAAAGCGCCGGGUUAAUACCCUGGUGUCCUGACGGUACCGGAAGAAUAAGCACCGGCUAACUUCGUGCCAGCACG